ensembl:lncRNA
CUGCACGAAUCAGGUGGUGUCCAGCGCGCAGGCGCAUACUUAUUCUCUGCGCGGCGUCCGUUUCUCCAGACUUUCCACUUUUGGCAAGCUAUGUUCCCUGGCUUGUGUCCAGUCUACAAAAGGUCUUAAAACCACGGAGCAGGGCUUUAAGCGUUUAGGAUCUCGCUUUUUGCAGGCUUUUGACAAGAAGGCUCAGAUCUCCACUAACCAGUGGCCACAUUUUACCAUCAUGAUCAUUGAGUAGCUCACAACCAAACCGUUUGCUUUAUCACAGCAAGAAGAGUGAGGAGAGCCAAAAAUGUCACAGAAGAAAGACAACUCAGAACAACCACCCUCAGCCUCCCAAGUCCAGGACACUGGGUCGACGACUCUUCACAACUUCUUCAGGCUGAAUAUGGAUGUUGAGAUAUCUUGAAGGGGGCUAGGGAAAAUGGCCUUAAGAAGGCCACCCAACAAUUGAUGCAGUCUCUGAUGUUUGUCCUGACUGGAUCUGGCCAAAAGCCCCUGAGAUCAGGAGUUCAAGCAGGUCAGUUCAGCACGUCUGACUAUGAGACUCACUAAAGUUGUACAUGUUGUAAUAUAUAAAUCUCAAAACAAAAGUUUAGUACCGUCAAGAUAUCUGUGUGGAUUGUAUCAGUCUGUAGGGUGUACAGACUGGUUAGGAUGAAAUUCUGUUUCUUUUUUGUUUUAUUCUCUCGAAUCUAGUUCUUCCAGGAGUCUCCCUCUAUCAAAUCUGAUCCAUAUAGCUCUGGAAUGUGUCCAGAGCCUAAUGGGAAUUUGGAAAUGGUCAUAAUUUAACAGGAAGAAAUUAGCCAGAAUUGAUUGUGCAGCCAUAAUCUCAUUUGGUAAAAAUCCUUAUAUUUGUUACUAAAUUAAAAUUAUAAUCUCUUACGUUGGUACAGAAUUUAUUUGAUACAAAUUUAGGGUUUUCAUUCAUAUGAAUUUCGUAUUGAUAUAAAAUUGAGAUUGAUAUUGUUACUUCAUAUAGGUAUUGUGCAUAUACAACACAUUUAAGAAUACAAGGCUUAGACCCAGUCCUGUAACUGCUAUUAUAAACUGAUCUGAGAUGAUUAAGCAUGUGAGUUAAGGGCCAGAUAACAAAUUUAUGUCCCUGAGAUUACUGUUAGGGAAACUGAUAAUCUCUACCAAGUUAGAAUAAUUGGUCCUUCAAAAUUCUGUGGUUGGGGAUUUAGCUCAGUGGUAGAGCACUUGCCUAGCAAGUGCAAGGCCCUGG